rnacentral:rRNA from 1 species
CCUACGGGAGGCAGCAGUGAGGAAUAUUGGUCAAUGGACGCAAGUCUGAACCAGCCAUGCCGCGUGCAGGAAGACGGCUCUAUGAGUUGUAAACUGCUUUUGUACGAGGGUAAACGCAGAUACGCGUAUCUGUCUGAAAGUAUCGUACGAAUAAGGAUCGGCUAACUCCGUGCCAGCAGCCGCGGUAAUACGGAGGAUUCAAGCGUUAUCCGGAUUUAUUGGGUUUAAAGGGUGCGUAGGCGGUCGGAUAAGUUAGAGGUGAAAUCCCGAGGCUCAACUUCGGAAUUGCCUCUGAUACUGGUCGGCUAGAGAGUAGUUGCGGUAGGCGGAAUGUAUGGUGUAGCGGUGAAAUGCUUAGAGAUCAUACAGAACACCGAUUGCGAAGGCAGCUUACCAAGCUACUUCUGACGUUGAGGCACGAAAGCGUGGGGAGCGAACAGGAUUAGAUACCCCUGUAGUC